rnacentral:lncRNA from 1 species
AUUUAUAGUUGCUAGAGUCCCAAACUAAUGGCUAAGAUCUAUUCUAAUCAAUGGCUAAGAUCAAAGAUCUAGAGAGUUCUACCAAUCUCUACAAAUCUCUACACCUAGUAGAAUAUACAAGAUGGGACUAGAAGGGUCUAGAGUCUUCCAUUGGAAGGAUCUAGACUCUACACCUAGUAGAAUAUACAAGAUGGGACUAGAAGGGUCUAGAGUCUUCCAUUGGAAGGAUCUAGACUUAGCGAGAGAAAUGCUGCCAUCCGCGCGCCAAAUCAUCGCCAAUGUGUCGCCCAGUCAUCGCCCGCAUGGCAUAACCUCAUAGAAAACGUAGGGGUGUGACAACCUCCCCCACCUAUUGCGUCGACGCCCUCGUCGACUCUUCGUGGAAAGUUCGGAUUUGAUCUUUGAAUUGCCAAAGCGCCUCCUUUGGCUCCCAGCUUGCCUUGAUUUCCGGUAGUCCCUUCCACUUGACAAGAUAUUCAUGCAAUGGUUCCUCGAACCUUCGCCGAAUCACCCGGUCAGCCAUGAUGCUUUCAACUUCCCUGUCAAAUGAUGUCGCAAUGGCUGGAGGUGCCCGAUGUGACUCGUUCCUUAUGCGAGGCCAAUAGUAGUUAGCCCCUAUCAACUCCUGAGUGCGCUCUCGUCCCGGAUGACCCGCCCAUCGGGUGUUAUGGUACUCCUUAGUGCUGUUUUUUGCGCAAUCUCUUCCAUUUGGGAACGUCGAAUUUCCAAAGCGCCUCCUUUGGCUCCCAGCUUGCCUUGCUUUCCGGUAUUCCCUUCCACUUGACAAGAUAUUCAUGCAAUGGUUCCUCGAACCUUCGCCGAAUCACCCGGUCAGCCAUGAUGCUUUCAACUUCCCUGUCAAAUGAUGUCGCAAUGGCUGGAGGUGCCCGAUGUGACUCGUUCCUUAUGCGAGGCCAAUAGUAGUUAGCCCCUAUCAACUCCUGAGUGCGCUCUCGUCCCGGAUGACCCGCCCAUCGGGUGGUAUGGCACUCCUUAGUGUUAUUCUUGCGCAACCUCUUCCAUUUGGGAACGUAAAUCCGUUGUCCCUUGGUGCGCAAUAAGUCACCUUCGACCCAACAUUGUUUGGUUUCCCCAUCCUUAGCCAUCUGCAUGAGUUGCUUGGCUA